UGAGACGCAAUUAGAAUAAAUUUGAAACUUUAUUUCAAAAGUCUUGGAUUGGAAUUCCAAGGCGCCCUUUUUAUAUUUUUCUAAUUUAAUGGUGUACAACAAAGUCAAAGGAAAGGAAUUGAUGUAAUUACUAUUGGGUUGGCUUGUCUAGUUACAUUGAUUUGUUUCCAACAUUUAUGAUGAGACCCAAUCCAAGUCGGCCAAUGUCCGGAGUUUGAACAUUAAAAACCCUAACUUCCUUUUUCAGGUGCCAACCAUCCUAUUGUCUGCAAAUUGGUCCAACUUUUGUGGAAAAGGAUCCUCCUUUCCCACCCUGUCGGCCAACCUUGUUUCUAACACAAAAAAGAAAAAAAAAAUUGACAAAACAUAACUGUUCCCAAACUCAUCAGGCAAAAUGGGUCAGCUCGUGGUUCAAGCCAAACCCCUUUGUCACUUGUCAGAGACCAAGAUAUGGUUAAAGCCAACCACAGGAAAAGAAACGAACAAAAGCGGGAAACUUCGAAUUAAGGAAAGGAAAAGAAAUUUGUUAGCAAAACCUGGUAACCUGACCCAACCUCCAAAAACUGCCCAAUAUAUAAAGAUAAUAUCUUUUUUUCAUAAUCUUGGUUUGUUUAGGGUUCAUUCAAACAACGAAUUAAUAAGAGGAAAAAAAACACAAAGAACUGUUUUUGCAAACGCAGCGGCUAUGGAGGAGGUGAGAGAAAGCGCUGCUUGGGUGGCUCUUAAUUCUUCUCAUGUUACUAUUGAUUCUUCAGGAAUUGAGAAAGUAGUGGAGAAAAUUAAAGGGUCGAUUCCGAAAGUGGAGUGGAAUUAUGAAGGGAUUCAUUAUUUUGAUAAUGGACCUCUCACUGUUCAGUACCUUUUUGUUUUGGAUGCUUUGAAUUUCUGUUUUUGGCCUGAUAAGGAUCUAAAUUAUGAUCAUUUGGCCAAUGGGUUAAAGGAAGCUUUGCUGAAUGACAAGUCUGUAUUUAAUGCUGACCGCCUCCAAAAAUUCACUGGUCCUCAACUGCGUGAAUUGUUGAAAUGGCCUAGACCACUUCCUUUAGAGGAGGAGCGAGUUCGUCUAUUGCAUGAGGUUGGGUUUGAACUGGAAAGAAGCUUUGAGGGUAAGGCGUCCAAACUAGUUGAAUCAUGCGGAAAAUCAGCUGUAAAGCUUGUUGCUCUUGUUACACAGCAUUUUCCGGGCUUUCGAGACCACUCAGUGUACAAAGGCCACCAGGUAUUCUUGUAUAAAAGAGCACAGAUAUUUGCUUCUGACUUGUGGGGUGCAUUCAAGGGCCAAGGAUAUGGAGAAUUUAAAGACAUUAGCUCAAUCACUAUGUUUGCUGACUAUAUUGUUCCAGCUGUGCUCCGGCAGCUUGGUGUGCUGAAAUAUAGUUCUACCCUUGCGAGCACCAUUGAGGCUAACAGUGAAAUAGGUGCUGGCUCUGAAGAGGAAGUUGAACUACGAGCUUGUUCUAUUUAUGCUGUGGAGAAAAUGAGAGAGUUAUUGAGUAUAAAAUCAGGAAAGGAGGUUCUGAGUGUGGAGUUAGAUCUUUGGCUCUGGUCUGUUGGCGUCCAAUGCCCAUCUCUCCAACACCAUCGCACGCUGUCAAUAUAUUAUUGAGUAAACUAGUCUUAGUAGCCUUCACGUCAUAUGCUUGUAAGCAGCAGAACAAGAAAAUUUUGGCUUGGAAUGUCCAAGUGCUCUAUUGCUGCCCAGAGGGAGUCUGCAGAGGUUCUUUUAACAUACAACAUUCUCUUAAGGAUAUGAUGCUGGCCUGUGAUUGAACCAUUGUUUUCACCUUAGACAGAAGUUGGAGUUUAUUCUUUCACAUUACUGUUUUUCCAUCCAUAAUCGUUUCCAUGUGCUUAAAGCCCAACUAGGCAUAGAAAUGAAGCACAACAUUGAAGUCUCCUUCUUUUAGCUCCAUGGACGUGAGUUACAUCAAGACAGCUGGAUUCUUUGUUGUGGGAAGAUAGAUUUCCAUCAUAACUGCAUCUUAACACAACUAGUUUUCUCACCAGCUGAGGCCCUACCGGCACCUUUCCAGUUUUUGGAUGAAUGCCCUGCACAUAUGCAACUGUCACUUCAAACUGUUGCCAUUGGAGUAAGGUACUCUUUCAUUCCACCUCUUAUGAUUUCACACCUAUUAACCAAAUAUCAAAUGGGCAAACAAUUUAAUAUAUGCAGAAGUCUGACAAUUUUAUAAGGGAGAUUUUCUACUGGAUUACUGUCCAACUUGAAAUGGCUAUUCCUAGCAUAAAUAUAGUAUAUGUGAAAAUAACAGGCUUGAAACUCACUUGAGCCCUAGAAAUCCACUCAUUUCAAUUGCUCCACAUAAGGAGACCACCAUCACCUUCAGAAAAAUGCAUGUCACCAGUGUUAAGAUUUGCUACUUCUACAGACACUGGAAGAUAAAUUGUCGAACCUCUGCUGAGGUUUUUGAUGUCACAAUUUCCUCCAUUUUCUCUUCCUGGAAUAGUCAUUGCCGCCUUCUUGGCAAUCUUUUCCCAUUCAGCGGUCCCCAUUUUGAUCUACACCUGGCGAUUAUAUUUCAUGUUAGCAUAUAAUGAUAUAAAUACUAUUAAGAUGUCUCGGGGCUGGAAACUGCAUCUAAAUAAUUAUUUUGAGGUCUACUAAUUCCAGUGAAAUCUCAAACUCAGCAGCAGUCUGUAGGACAUUAAAGUAUUGAUCAAGGAAGUUGAUGUAAACUGACUUCCCUAAAUGGCAACCUCUGGUUGAUGGAAGGUUUGCCAACGGUCGUGAAAGCAAAACUUCACAUAGUUUCAGGGACUUAUGGCCAUUUUCUUCCACUUCUUUUUCUUUCAUUCAUAUAUUCAGAAGUUCCAUUGAUGGUGCAGUCCCAAUUAUUCCAGGAUGAUUCAAACCUGGAAAUCUCACCCAUGCUAUGCAUAUAUAACUUUGUAGGCGGACUCAGCUGAAUUAUUUUCAACAGGCAGGCAUGAUAAUAGAGACACAAGAGCUUAAAAGCUUAUAACUAGUUUUAACAUAGGGAAUAGAUGUAUAAUUCACCUGGUAUAAGCAGAGAGUAGGUAUAAAUUCCUUCAAAAUGUCAAAUAGCUUUGUAGCACAUGGAAAAUUGUCUGUCAAAAAACCUCCAUUUUUCUGUCAAACGUUGCUGUAUAAACCCAUUCAACCCCCGGCAGACGACCCAGGUUACAUAUCUCCACUGCAAGAAGAUCAUAUUGCUCGGCCGGUAUGCUAUCCUUGUCGAGAACUCUUAUCGGCCCACUUAGAUAAUGGACCUGUGUCAUUUAUGUAAUCUUUAUGUAUAACAAACAAGUUUCAAAGGUGAUUCUGUUCAAGUGAAUUAUCUGAUAGAAAUGAUCUAUUGAUCUUAUAUUUCCCAUUGCACGGACGUUUUCUCUAGCUACCUUCAACAGAAGAGUUUAUGUACUUACGGUGGAGAGGUCUAUAUAUUUUAUAUCCUCUGCAACAGCUGGUAUGUCAGGGUGCCACUGGUUGUGGAGGGGAUGUUUCUGUCGUGAUGGCUUUUUCCUCAGGUCUAUAGGCACCGCUACUCUAGCACCACAUUGAACCAUGGCCCAAACUAGAAUCGCCGACUCGGUUUAGCUGAAUGCAAGAAACAGUUAGGUGUGAUGAUGAUGAGACUCAUCACAGUUACCAACGCCCAGCGACCUUCAUUGUUGGCAGCCAUGGAUGGAGAUUUUUUGUUUGAUAGAUGGACCCUAUGGACCACUUAGAAUUGAUUUAAGUCUUUGAUUUUUGACACAUUACCUUGGAUGUUCUUUUAGGACAAAAUAACAUUGAUUAGAGGGGUAAUCUACAAUGCUAAAACACUAAACCUAUGGCUAAAGCUUGUGCUUAGGCGAUGACAAUAUUGAUGGAACAUUUCUUACAUCAUGGAAGUAAAUUUGAGUGGUGUCCGACUCUGAUUUGCUUCAAUACAUCAUACAUUUGACUCAACCAUCCAUCCAUUUUGGGAUGCAAACAACUUUCAAAGCUAUCCAAACCCUCUGACACGACUCCACAAAUUUGGAAUCUUUCAACCUUUGUUUGUUCUUAAAAGAGAUACACUUCGUGGGGUGUGUGAGUACAACUUUCAAUAGGUCUACUCUAGAUUGUUGAUUUGGUGCGAAACAAGCUAAUUGUUUCGAUCAGUGCAUCAAUCCAAAUUAAUGAAACAUGGGAGCAUUGAACUCAAUUGUUUUUUGUCAACCAGCAAUGGGAGAGAGUGGAGAAAAGAAAAGAAUGAGAUGAAUAUAUGCAAGGAGUCGUUUCAAAUUUAUGAUGUUGAGAUAUUUGUUCAGAGCAAUUUCAAUCAUUGAAUCAUUUGCAGGCUUUUUUGUUUUCUUGGGGUUCAAUCUUGAUAACAGGUUCAAACUUCUCGGAUUAAUAUUUCAGCAACAUCAUACAUUUCUUUAUGCACAAACCUACUAGGCAUUGAAAUGAAACCCAAGAUUCCUGCUGUUUCUGCUUUAGGCUUCCUUGACUGAAGUUAAAUUGAGGCGGCUGAGUUCUCAGUGAAGGGCAAAUUUCCAUCACAAGUACAUUUUAGAACAUCUGGUUUUCUCAUUAACCGAGACCCAACUGGAACCCUUGCAGUUUUGGGACGAAUAUCCUGCACAUUAUGUUAUGGUUUUAGAAUCUUCAAAUAUGAGGAUAUCACAUAUAGUUGUAUGUUAAAAAUUCCACUGGCGGCUGGAGAGAAGAGAUUGUGGUGGCUUAAGCUGGUAUUAGAGUGGUAGCAGGAAGAAGUUACAUCAGGGUACAAGUGCUAAUUUUCUUGAUGAAUUUAGGUUGUACCUGGUCAAAAAAAAGCAGUUGGAAUUGAAAGGAUUGCAAGAGCAUUGGGAGAAUAAACUAUUCCGGAUAUCCUUCCUACAUAUGGCAACAGGAUGGCACAAUGUACAUCUCAUCGUCACCAUUAUUUUCGCUGGAAGGCAACAAAGCUUAUUCCCUUAAACACUAGCCAUUUUGAGAAUCUAGGCUCAACCGAAUCUGUGGGGUUGGUCCCAUUGGAGUAUGGUACCCCUUCGUCCCAUCUCUCUUGUGAUAUCACUUCUAUCAACCAGACAAAAGAUUAGGCAAACACUUGAAAAUAACAUGCCUGAGUUUAGUUAUCAAUCCUGGUGUUUAAAAUGAAUCUUUGAAUGAAUAAGAUACUUAUGGAAUAAUUUUUCUGUUAAGCUUACCUAAAACCAAUUUUCGGAGAGAACCAUCUCAUGCAUCUGGCAUGCAUAUUCAUUGCAUUUGUUUCUAGUAGGACAAAAAUUUUAAAUUAGAAUAUCAUUGGGUGUUGGGUAGAUCAUGUUUGCACUAGCCAGAAUGGAUGCUUUCAAGUCUUAGAAAAGACAAGUGAUUAACUUCUCAUGCAUUUGUCUGUCAGUUGCAGUUCUUACCCAGAUUACCUCAAUUUAUUCUACUUAAUCGUCUUGUCUCAUGGUAAAUUUUGAAGCAGUGGAUGUAUCAGUUUCUUGUCUGCCACUGGAUAUUGUACCACUAGUUGAAUUUAUUCGAUAUCCACCAUAUAACUAGUAGCAGACUGUAUAUGAUAUCAUAUUCAUAAGAUCUAGACUCCUUUACUUGUUCUAAUUCAUUAAAUUAUCUUCAAAUGCACUACAACCAACAUAAAAGUUUGCUGGAUGAGUUGUUGAUAAUCAAAAAAAUUUAUCAAAAUGUAUGAGAGGGAAAUGUUUAUUCUUUGUUAGAACCAUCUUUCCGUACUUCAGCUCUAGAAAACAACUCAUCUCAAUUGCCCCGCAAAAGGAUACUUCGGCAUCACCUUGAGAAAAGGUGCAUGUCACCCGUGCUUAGGUUGGCUUCUUCAACAAACCCAGGAAGGAAUUUUUUAUGUCACAAUUUCCUCCAUUUUUAUUCUCUUUGGAACAGUCCUUGCAGCCUCCUUAGCUAUUGUUUCUCAUUCAGAGGUGCCCUUUGAAAUCUACACAUAGUCAUCACAUGUUAAAAUAAUUCCCUGAUCAAGUCCUCAUUUUCAGGAAGUUUAAUCAAAUUUGCACCUAUACAAUUUUAUAUGCACAGCACUAGUUUGACUUAAAUCUCAAAGUUAGCAGCAAGGUGGUUGGAUACUUGCAUUGGAAGAUUAGAUAAUGAGGUUGAUAUUAGUAGCCUCUCUAAUAGGUAGCUUUUUGUCAAUGGCAGAUUUGCCAAUGGUCACAAUUCACAAAUGCAAAACCUCACAUGGUUUUAGGGGACUUAAGCCCAUAUUCUGCAACUUCUCUUUCUCCCUCAUUCCAAAUGUUCAGGAGUUCCAUUGAUGGUGCUGUUCCAAUUACUCCAGGGCAGGGUGAGGCAAACAUGGAAAUCUCACCCCCGCUACGUGUACAAAAGUUAGUCGACUGAACUAUAUAUUUUCAAUAUUUGGACACGAUUAUAGAAACAUAUGGGAAGUAACUUUAAGAUAUUUUUAAAUGAUUAAUUGGGUUUAACACACGGUAUGGAUAGAAUUUCACCUUCACCUCGUAUAUGCGGAAAGUAGGAAAAAGUUUCUUCCAAGUAACAAAUAUCUUUGGUCGCACAAGGAGCUUCAUUAAUCCCCGGACACCGCGGUUACAUGCUUCCAGUGCCAGAAGGUCGCCCGGCUUGGCCGGUAUGCCAUCCGUGUCCACAACUUUUACUGGUCCACUGAGAUAAUGCGCCUAUAUGGCUAUAUCAUUUAUCAAACAGACCUUAAUCAACAAGUUUCAAAGAUGAUCCUGUUCAGGGAAAUUAGCUGACAAAAGAGUUCUAAGACACUCCCUCCAGUCUAAAAUCUUUACUCUUAAAAAACAAGCCAACUUUUAGCAUCUGCAACGAGGGUGUAAAGUUGCAGAGAUAGUUCCUAACUCUUUCUUCAUCAAGCCUAUUUGCGCUACUAUAUAGAUAUUUGUUGCAGACUUGUCAGUCUAGCCAAAUGAAAACCAUUGGAGGAAAGAGGUUAACUCCCAUAAAUUACUGGCUGACAAAUAGGAGUGACAGUUCUUCUAAUGGUCCCCAUUUGCUUUUUUGUAUAGGACAAAUAUACAUACCAAGGCAAGGAUCAUUUAUUAAUGUGAAAAAUGCUGAAGGCAAUAGGUUUUAGAAGUUUCUGUGGAGAAGAGAAGAUGGGCUAAGCAAGCAAUCAAUGGUAACCAAAAUUGCUAGUGAAAGACUGAAAUGAUUUCUUGAAAAUCAUUAGGCCACUAUUUAAAGUGCCUUUCUAUGUGCAUAUCAAAGGGUGGUAUAGCAUUAUACUCACCCCAGCCCGGGUGGGAAAACACUAAAAACUACGCUAGAAACUGCUUACACCCAUGUUUUAGUGACUUAAAAGGUAAUUAUGUGGUUGAGCCUUGAUGUUUCAGAAGAAAACUUGUUGCAGCAUAAACUUGUGCUCCCGACAAUCUAAACUUCUCUGAUUUUCAUCACAGAACUACUGUUACUAAGGAUUUAUCAAGGAUUUAUGAUCUUUAAACACUAGCAGUCAUUUACGCAGUAGAAUUUGGAAAACAAAAUGAAAUUUAAAAUUCAACUCACGACAUAUGGAUUACCACCAUUAUAAUGCACCCCUUCCUUGACUUUGCAGCAGCUGGUAUGUCAGGAUGCCACUGGCUGUGAAGGGAUAUUUCUGUUCCCAUGUCUUCUUCUUCUUCAGGUCUAUGGAACCACCAACCUUGUACGAGAUUUAGCCAUGGCUCAGUCCAGAGUUCCAGACUAUUGUUUAGCUGAACACAGGAAAAAUUAGGUAUGUCAAAUAAUGAGGAAACUCAUGGGAGUUGCCGACGUCCUGGAACGCUCAUUAUCAGAUGAAAGACUGGCAUCGAUGACUGUAGCAGCAAUUGUGAUAAAGUAAUUUUUUUUUUUUUUUACUUAGUGGAUGGACCACUAGUAAUUGAUUGAGCCUUGACAUACAAUUAAAACAAAACAACAGUAAUUAAUUAAAGGGAUAAGCUAUAACAAUAACAAAAUUCCAAGCCUACGACUCAAAAGCCUGGGCUCGGGGAUAAACAAAAGUGAACCACUCAUUGAGGAAUGAUGCCCUGUACUUGGUGGAACUUUUAUCUUAUAAUGCAAUUGAAUUUGAGUGGUGCUUGAUUUGAUUCAACAUCGUACAUCUGACGUAACCAUCCAUUAGCUGAAAAUUUUGUGCAAAAAAGAUGCCGAUAUAAUUAGUAGACUGCACAGAUCACAUUGCUUAAAAAUAACCGAACAGCUGGACUUGUUUACUUUCAUCAUUUUUGGAUGAAAACAUGGCCUUCAAGUUAAUCCAAAUUGCCAUCUUACCCAACCCCACAAAUCGGAAUCUUUGAGAUUUGCCUGCAUUUCAUGAUGAUUUGAGCUUUUGUUUGUUCUUAUAGAGAAAAACGUUUCUUUCUUCUGCUUUAAUUGGCAGAUGGUCCCAGCAUUUCUCCCUAGCUCGGGAUAGUACUACUUUCAGUAAGACUGAUCUAAAAUUUUUGACUCGAUUGCCAAUAAGCAAAUGCUACCAUUUCCAUAUUAUGGGGUCAUCAGUCCAAAUUAAAUCAAAGAAGGAGAAGAUAAUGGGAAUUUCAUUUGGCUUUGUCAAAACCAGCUGUUGUUGGCAUUUUUCUGCAGAUUAGCCUAAUGUUUUUAUCAAAAAAUUUGAACAUUUUACAGAUUAUAGUGCCAGCAUUUUGGUAUUACUGAAACCCAAAAUGAAAUUGGUUUUGGCUGGCUAUCUGAAAGAGAGUAAUUGUAUAAACUGAUGGAAACUUAUCCUAUUUUGUUAGGUAUACCCGUACCAUGAUUGAG